GAUCUUCCGCCCCCAACCACCAACGCCUUCCUUCCAGUGGCCUGUCUGCAGAGUCAAAAAUAUCCUCCACAUGGUUUUCACUGAAUGCUGCACGACCUUCACAUGAUAACUUAUCAACACCACCACCAUAUACAUUUGCUAGAUGUAUCUUCAGCCAGCGUAAACCAGACUUUCCAAGUGGGCGCCCCUCAGAGAAUUCGAGGAUGCCACGGCAUAAAUCAGAACCAAGAUGGUUCAAAUACGGGUGCAUGGGGUAUGCACGACCACGAAAAUCAAGGUU
rnacentral:misc_RNA from 1 species